rnacentral:lncRNA from 1 species
AAAGAAAAUGCUAGAAGAAGAAAACCGUUCUUCAUUUUGUUUAUUUUCUUUCUCUGCCGAGAACUACCAAGGGAAUGCCCAUUGUUCAUCUUUUUUCUCUACACCAAAAUUGCUUUAAAAUUUCACCUCCACUCAAUUCCCCAUCUUCUCCCAACACCUUUCCAAAGAAGAAUUUGAAGAAAAGAAGGGAAAUCAAAGAGAAAUUUCAAGGUUGAGGGAGAGUGAAUAGUAACCAAGGGUUUGGAAAGUUAAAGGUAAGUGAGGGGUUUUGAUGUAGGAAUAUAUUUCUUAUCAUUUUUAUGUAUCAUAUCUAUGAGAAAUAUUGUAUUAAUGUGAUUUAUUUGUUUAUUUUUCAUGAAGAAGAAAUGGAAGGGAAGAGUGGAAGUUCUAAAGGAAAAGGAAGAGAAAAGGAAGAUUAGAAAAUUUUAAGGUUUGUGCUCAACUUUGUUUGAAUAAAUUUAAGAAUUUGUUCAUUAUGUUUUAUUUGAACAUUUUACUACUCUAGUAAAAAUAGACCAAGAGAAGAAUAGUUUAAUUAUAAUGUUUAAUCAAAGUGUGAGAAUUAAUAGAUUUAAUAGAUAGAAAAUUUUAAAAUUAAUAUGUAAUUUAACCAAAAUGUAAGUUAUGGAUCUAAUGAAAUGACUCUAAUAGAAAUAUAAUUUGGUUAGACAUAGUGACAAUAAAAAAAAUUUAGUAGACUAACAAAAAAAAAAAAGGAGAGAUAUGAGAUUAGAUGAAAAAAAAAAAAGAAAUGAAAGGAAUAAGAAAAGGGAGAUACAGUGUAAAUAUGAUGUUUAACAAUAAUAAUAAUAAUAUAAGAUAAAAAUAGAAAUUCAAAGAAAAAGAAAAUUGAAAUAAGGUAUAUUGUGAUAAGUAGAAAAAAAUAUAUAUAUCUUAUAUUAAAUUAAUAGAUUUACAUGAUAUGACAAUGUUUAAAAGCAGAAUUGUAAUAUGGUAAAAUAUUAUAGUUUGCACAAUUGAAAGUUACGCUGUAUUGAAAGUUUUUGUUCCCAUAAUUAAAUGUAUAAAUUAUUUAAAGUCUGGCCCUAGUAAGUUUGGUGGGAAUUGUGAGUUAGUUUAAGGGUGUGGCAUGCCAUAUACAGAUCUUGCAGUACUGCACUACAGUUACACUGAUUUUUUUUUUUUGUUACAAUGAGGUAUCCUACAGUUAUAGGCUCGGCUUUUGAGCCAUACAGUUAUUUGGCACUUUGUGCCCUACAGUUACAGUUUCCUUAUCUGACUUAACAGUCCCAUUUAAAUUUAUAGGGGCCAACAGAAAAAUAAUAAAUAAAUAAAAGUAUUAAGAGAAAAUAAAACUUUUUACAUGAUGAAGAAAAAGAAAAAGACUAUGAAAUGAAAAUAUGUAUAUAUGUGAAAUAAUAAUAUGAGUUAGUUUUAUUUUAAAUUAUUUGCUAUAUAGUUUCUUGUUGUGGUUAAAUGAAUUUUUAUUUAAAUGUGUUAUUUUAUAUAUAAAAAAAAAGGUUGAGCACCACUAAGCAAUUUGCUUAGUGCGUAGGAAUUUAUUUUUUUCCUCGCGCAGGUUGUAGACCCAAGUAGCAGUAGAUCAAGAUCUGCAUCAACCCAGUCAGAGUUAUAUCAUUAUCUAUCUUUGGGGUAUAUUUUGUAAAUUUUGGCAUGUACAUAAAGUUUUAGUUGUAGAUGAUUUGAAUUAAAUAUAUUUGAAAACUUUAAUUUUGGUGUAAAUAUGGGUUAUUAGUAUAAGUUUUUAUGUUGAGAUUAAUG